rnacentral:lncRNA from 1 species
AAUAUACAAACUUUGAGGUGUUACAAUAAUCAUACCUAAGAUAAAAGAAAAUUGCUUCAUACAAAUCCAUGGAGGCAAAUUGUAAGGAACAAGCACUACAGGCUAAGUACUGUACGAAGUACUCAUGAUUUUAAAAGGAUUAAAUUCAUCAUAUGCUAGCCCAAGCCUCACAUUCCGAGGAUCACUUGCAAAGCUUUGAAAUUUACUGUCAAAUGAUUUCCAAGCUAAAGAAUCCGCAGGAUGCCUUAAUAAUUCAUCACUGAUUCGUUGAUCAUGAUGCCUCCUCAUAGACUCGGUUAUCUUUGACGACAUGAAAAGCCUUUGAAGUCUUGGUAUUAGUGGAAAAUAUCGCAAAAUCUUUACUGCCUUCUUUCUUGAUUGUGCCUCACCUUCAUCCUCAUUCACAUCUUCUGC